CCUGCAUUUACUCUUGCUAGGUUGACAAGUUGUCUCCAUGGUGGGGAACCUGGCCUUGAUUGCUCUAAUUGGCUGAAAUUCAUACCUUCCCACCCCCAAGCUCUGUUUUCUUUCACCCAGUCCUUCCCUGAUCUCUAUUGUCCUGUUUGCACCCCCAGAAUGCUCAUGACUUUUGUAUCAAAGAAAAACAUCUUCUAUGUCAGGUGCAUGACUCAGCUGUUUCUUUCUCUUUAUUGUCCUCUCUAUAAAUACCACGUGUUGAUGUUCAUAGCCUGUGGUUGCUUUGUGGCCAUCUACAAUCCAUCAUUGCAUGAGGUCACCAUGUCUCCUCAGGUGAGAGAGAGAGAGAGACUGGAUUUGCUGGAACCACUCCCACACAGGGCACAUACUUAGGCCGACCUUUUGUAGUAUUGAUGUCAUCAACCAUCAUCUUAUGACAGCCUCUUGGUCCUCUAAGUUUCUUGUACCAGCACCUGUGCCAAUGAAGUAGUGGUUUUCACUGUGGUGGGUAUUAAUAGUACAGUAUCCAGUCUUUGCUUCUCUUACUUUCAUUUAACUUGCUCAAGGCAAACUAAAACCUUUCAGCACCUGCAGCUUUCACGUCAAUGCCAUUUCUGUUUUCUUUGAGUCAGUGGCAUUCAUGUAUCUCAAAUAUUUUUCUCCAGGGUCUAUGAACCAGGAGAUGUUGCUUUCUGUUUUCUGUUACAAUUUGAGGUCUGUGCUGAACUCCCUGUUUAAAGCCUGAGGAACAAGAAGAAUGCUGG
rnacentral:lncRNA from 10 species